GAAUUCGCCCUUAGAGUUUGAUCCUGGCUCAGGACGAACGCUGGCGGCGCGCCUAACACAUGCAAGUCGAACGAGCGAGAGAGAGCUUGCUUUCUCGAGCGAGUGGCGAACGGGUGAGUAACGCGUGAGGAACCUGCCUCAAAGAGGGGGACAACAGUUGGAAACGACUGCUAAUACCGCAUAAGCCCACGGGUCGGCAUCGACCAGAGGGAAAAGGAGCAAUCCGCUUUGAGAUGGCCUCGCGUCCGAUUAGCUAGUUGGUGAGGUAACGGCCCACCAAGGCAACGAUCGGUAGCCGGACUGAGAGGUUGAACGGCCACAUUGGGACUGAGACACGGCCCAGACUCCUACGGGAGGCAGCAGUGGGGAAUAUUGCACAAUGGGGGAAACCCUGAUGCAGCGACGCCGCGUGGAGGAAGAAGGUCUUCGGAUUGUAAACUCCUGUUGUUGAGGAAGAUAAUGACGGUACUCAACAAGGAAGUGACGGCUAACUACGUGCCAGCAGCCGCGGUAAAACGUAGGUCACAAGCGUUGUCCGGAAUUACUGGGUGUAAAGGGAGCGCAGGCGGGAAGACAAGUUGGAAGUGAAAUCCAUGGGCUCAACCCAUGAACUGCUUUCAAAACUGUUUUUCUUGAGUAGUGCAGAGGUAGGCGGAAUUCCCGGUGUAGCGGUGGAAUGCGUAGAUAUCGGGAGGAACACCAGUGGCGAAGGCGGCCUACUGGGCACCAACUGACGCUGAGGCUCGAAAGUGUGGGUAGCAAACAGGAUUAGAUACCCUGGUAGUCCACACCGUAAACGAUGAUUACUAGGUGUUGGAGGAUUGACCCCUUCAGUGCCGCAGUUAACACAAUAAGUAAUCCACCUGGGGAGUACGACCGCAAGGUUGAAACUCAAAGGAAUUGACGGGGGCCCGCACAAGCAGUGGAGUAUGUGGUUUAAUUCGACGCAACGCGAAGAACCUUACCAAGUCUUGACAUCCUGCGACGGUGCUGGAAACAGUGCUUUCCUUCGGGACGCAGAGACAGGUGGUGCAUGGUUGUCGUCAGCUCGUGUCGUGAGAUGUUGGGUUAAGUCCCGCAACGAGCGCAACCCUUAUGGUCAGUUACUACGCAAGAGGACUCUGGCCAGACUGCCGUUGACAAAACGGAGGAAGGUGGGGAUGACGUCAAAUCAUCAUGCCCUUUAUGACUUGGGCUACACACGUACUACAAUGGCGUUAAACAAAGAGAAGCAAGACCGCGAGGUGGAGCAAAACUCAGAAACAACGUCCCAGUUCGGACUGCAGGCUGCAACUCGCCUGCACGAAGUCGGAAUUGCUAGUAAUCGUGGAUCAGCAUGCCACGGUGAAUACGUUCCCGGGCCUUGUACACACCGCCCGUCA
rnacentral:rRNA from 1 species